CCUACGGGAGGCAGCAGUAGGGAAUCUUUCACAAUGGGCGAAAGCCUGAUGGAGCAACGCCGCGUGCAGGAUGAAGGCCUUCGGGUUGUACACUGCUUUUAUCAGCGAGAAAUAUGAUGGUAACUUAUGAAUAAGGAUCGGCUAACUACGUGCCAGCAGCCGCGGUCAUACGUAGGAUCCGAGCAUUAUCCGGAGUGACUGGGUGUAAAGAGUUGCGUAGGUGGCAUAAUAAGUAGCUAGUGAAAUCUGGUGGCUCAACCAUUCAGACUAUUAGCUAAACUGUUAAGCUCGAGACCGUUAGGGGUAACUGGAAUUUCUAGUGUAGGAGUGAAAUCCGUAGAUAUUAGAAGGAACACCAAUAGCGUAGGCAGGUUGCUGGGACGGUUCUGACACUAAGGCACGAAAGCGUAGGGAGCAAACGGGAUUAGAUACCCCUGUAGUC
rnacentral:rRNA from 1 species